CUCAGCCAACUCGCCCUUCUCCACCACUACUAAGGAAUGGUCAGUCUCUAUUACUUCCUUCGAGCAAGAGUACUUUAUUAGAAGGUUGAUGCUAGUCUCUAGCUUUGGCUUAGAUAAAUCCUCCUUCUUCAUCAUUAUCAGAGUAAUCUUCUAACGGUCCUUCCAAAAUAAGUAAGUAUUUUAGUGACCAUCAUAAGUAACACUAUGAUCAUACUACCAAGACCUUCCCA
rnacentral:lncRNA from 1 species